CCUACGGGAGGCAGCAGUAGGGAAUCUUUCACAAUGGGCGAAAGCCUGAUGGAGCGACGCCGCGUGCAGGAUGAAGGCCUUCGGGUUGUAAACUGCUUUUAUAAGCGAGAAAUAUGAUGGUAACUUAUGAAUAAGGAUCGGCUAACUACGUGCCAGCAGCCGCGGUCAUACGUAGGAUCCGAGCAUUAUCCGGAGUGACUGGGUGUAAAGAGUUGCGUAGGUGGCAUAAUAAGUAGCUAGUGAAAUCUGGUGGCUCAACCAUUCAGACUAUUAGCUAAACUGGUAAGCUCGAGACCGUUAGGGGUAACUAGAAUUUCUGGUGUAGGAGUGAAAUGCGUAGAUAUUAGAAAGAACACCGAUAGCGUAGGCAGGUUACUGGGACGGUUCUGACACUAAGGCACGAAAGCGUAGGGAGCAAACGGGAUUAGAGACCCUUGUAGUC
rnacentral:rRNA from 1 species